rnacentral:rRNA from 1 species
AUUGAACGCUGGCGGCAUGCUUUACACGUGCAAGUCGAACGGUAACAGGCCGCAAGGUGCUGACGAGUGACGAACGGGUGAGUAAUGCAUCGGAACGUGCCCAGUCGUGGGGGAUAACGCAGCGAAAGCUGCGCUAAUACCGCAUACGAUCUAUGGAUGAAAGCGGGGGACCGUAAGGCCUCGCGCGAUUGGAGCGGCCGAUGUCAGAUUAGGUAGUUGGUGGGGUAAAGGCUCACCAAGCCAACGAUCUGUAGCUGGUCUGAGAGGACGACCAGCCACACUGGGACUGAGACACGGCCCAGACUCCUACGGGAGGCAGCAGUGGGGAAUUUUGGACAAUGGGCGCAAGCCUGAUCCAGCAAUGCCGCGUGCAGGAAGAAGGCCUUCGGGUUGUAAACUGCUUUUGUACGGAACGAAACGGUCCUGGUUAAUACCUGGGGCUAAUGACGGUACCGUAAGAAUAAGCACCGGCUAACUACGUGCCAGCCGCCGCAGUAACAC